GUUUAACCUCUUUAAACUAGUCAAUUUCCCAAUGAUUUCUGGUAAAUGAGUGAAAAGGUUUGAACUCAAGUCAAGAGAAAUAAGGUUUGUCAGGUUCCCGAAAGAAGCUGGCAGCGAUUUUAGCCUGUUUGCAUGCAGGUCGACGUAGGUUAGAUUGACGAGCUCCCCAAAUGUGUCGGGAAGGUUUAUUAAUUGGUUCGAGUGAAU
rnacentral:misc_RNA from 1 species